rnacentral:rRNA from 1 species
UACGUAGGGCGCAAGCGUUGUCCGGAAUUAUUGGGCGUAAAGAGCUCGUAGGCGGUUUGUCGCGUCUGCUGUGAAAACUCGAGGCUCAACCUCGGGCUUGCAGUGGGUACGGGCAGACUAGAGUGCGGUAGGGGUGACUGGAAUUCCUGGUGUAGCGGUGGAAUGCGCAGAUAUCAGGAGGAACACCGAUGGCGAAGGCAGGUCUCUGGGUUAACACUGACGCUCGAUGGCACGAAAGCGUGGGGAGCAAACAGG